CCUACGGGAGGCAGCAGUCGAGAAUCAUUCACAAUGGGGGAAACCCUGAUGGUGCGACGCCGCGUGGGGGAAUGAAGGUCUUCGGAUUGUAAACCCCUGUCAUGUGGGAGCAAAUUAAAAAGAUAGUACCCCAAGAGGAAGAGACGGCUAACUAUGUGCCAGCAGACGCGGUAAUACAGAGGUCUCAAGCGUUGUUCGGAAUCACUGGGCGUAAAGCGUGCGUAGGCUGUUUCGUAAGUCGUGUGUGAAAGGCGCGGGCUCAACCCGCGGACGGCACAUGAUACUGCUAGACUAGAGUAAUGGAGGGGGAACCGGAAUUCUCGGUGUAGCAGUGAAAUGCGUAGAUAUCGAGAGGAACACUCGUGGUGAAGGCGGGUUCCUGGACAUUAACUGACGCUGAGGCACGAAGGCCAGGGGAGCGAAAGGGAUUAGAUACCCUUGUAGUC
rnacentral:rRNA from 1 species